UACGAGUGCCCCAAGCGUUAUCCGGAAUUAUUGGGCGUAAAGAGCUCGUAGGUGGUUCGGUAAGUCGGGUGUUAAACCCCCAGGCUCAACCUGGGGACGCCACUCGAUACUGCUGUGACUAGAGUCCGGUAGGGGAGCGUGGAAUUCCUGGUGUAGCGGUGAAAUGCGCAGAUAUCAGGAGGAACACCAGCGGCGAAGGCGGCGCUCUGGGCCGGUACUGACACUGAGGAGCGAAAGCGUGGGUAGCAAACAGG
rnacentral:rRNA from 1 species